GAUGAACGCUGGCGGCGUGCUUAACACAUGCAAGUCGAACGGAAAGGCCCAAGCUUGCUUGGGUACUCGAGUGGCGAACGGGUGAGUAACACGUGGGUGAUCUGCCCUGCACUUCGGGAUAAGCCUGGGAAACUGGGUCUAAUACCGGAUAGGACGAUGGUUUGGAUGCCAUUGUGGAAAGUUUUUUCGGUGUGGGAUGAGCUCGCGGCCUAUCAGCUUGUUGGUGGGGUAAUGGCCUACCAAGGCGUCGACGGGUAGCCGGCCUGAGAGGGUGUACGGCCACAUUGGGACUGAGAUACGGCCCAGACUCCUACGGGAGGCAGCAGUGGGGAAUAUUGCACAAUGGGCGCAAGCCUGAUGCAGCAACGCCGCGUGGGGGAUGACGGCCUUCGGGUUGUAAACUCCUUUCGCUAGGGACGAAGCGUUUUUGUGACGGUACCUGGAGAAGAAGCACCGGCUAACUACGUG
rnacentral:rRNA from 1 species